GCUUGCUUUGGCAACACAUAUGCUAAAAUAGGAGCAAUAUAGAGAAGAUUUGCAUGGCCCCUAUGCAAAGAUAACAAGUAUUUUGUAAAGCAUUCUGUAUUAAA